AUGCAGGAGGUUGUGAAAGCUCUUAAGCAGACUAAGGAGAAAAGUGCACCUGGCCCAGACCACAUCAGCAGCAGAGUUCUCAGAAACUGUGCACAGCAACUAGGGUGUGUGUUUCAGACCUUGUUCCAGAGCUCCAUGGAUACAAGCACAGUUCCCCAGCUCUGGAAACACUCUACGGUCAUACCCAUCCCCAAGACCAGCAGGGUUAAGGCUCUCAAUGAUCUUCGACCUGUGGCUUUGACCUCUUUACCGAUGAAGGCUAUGGAGAGGAUCUUGAAACAUCACAUUAUCGGAGCCUUACACCCUCAGUUAGAUCUACUUCAAUUUGCGUAUCGGAAAGGGAGAAGUGUUGAUGAUGCAAAAACAUUCAUCUUAGACAUGGUACACAGACAUCUGGAGAUCCCAAACUCUUCAGCUAGAAUGCUGUUUGUUGACUUCUCUUCAGCGUUUAACACCCUGCAACCUCACAUCCUGGCUGGCAAGCUCACUUCUCUUUUUCACCUGGAUGAUCAGAUAAUCCUAUGGAUCCUGGAUUUCUUAACUAACAGAUCACAAAGAGUUCUGGUUAACAACACUCUCUCGGACCUUCUUUACACCUCUACUGGCACCCCACAAGGCUGCGUGUUGUCUCCUCUACUCUUCAUUCUCUACACAGAUGACUGUAGAUCGAUCCAGCCUGACAGUUACAUGGUAAAAUAUGCUGAUGACACUGUGCUCCUGUCUCUUCUGUCAGGCCCUACUGUUUACCACGGGCAGGUCCUGCAGAAGUUUGUGGAUUGGUGUGACACUGCAUGCCUGGAGCUGAAUGUGACCAAAACCAAGGAGAUGGUGGUGUCCUUCUCAAACAAACAGAGAGCGCUGGUUACCGCUGCCUCCACUAUCAUUCAUGGACAGCCAGUGGAGCUGGUUGAAGAGUAUAAAUAUCUAGGGACCACCAUUGAUCACCUCCUGAAAUUUGCUUCCAACACCGAGGACAUCCUCAGAAAGUGCCAGCAACGACUCUACCUCCUGAGGAAGUUGAAUUCAUUUGGAGUCAGGAAGGACAUUUUACUGACUUUCUAUUAUUCUUUUAUAGAGAGUGUUAUCACAUUUUCCAUCCCCUGUUGGUUUUAUUCUGUCAGCCUGCAGUAUAGAAACUGUCUACAAAGCACCGUCAAGGUGUGCUCUCGGAUCAUUGGACUACCACUGCGAAGCUUAACUUCUCAAUGUGACCAGCAUACAGGAAGUUUAGCACAGAAAAUCAUUAAAGACCCAUCACACCCUCUUCAUACUGUUUUCGAGUGGCUGCCCUCCAAACGCCGACUUCGAUGCCCAUGCUGUAAAACACAGAGAAGUUCCUUUGUUCCCAGAGCUGUGCUUCUUCUUAAUUCUCAGUGCAGAUAG
rnacentral:lncRNA from 1 species